rnacentral:misc_RNA from 1 species
GAAAUGCGAUAACUAAUGUGAAUUGCAGAAUUCCGUGAAUCAUCGAGUCUUUGAACGCACAUUGCGCGCCCUGGUAUUCCUUGGAGCAUGCCUGUUUGAGUAUCAUGAAAUCUUCAAAGUAAAUCUUUUGUUAACUCAAUUGGUUUCUACUUUGGUAUUGGAGGUCUUUGCAGCUUCACACCUGCUCCUCUUUGUUCAUUAGCUGGAUCUCAGUGUUAUGCUUGGUUCCACUCGGCGUGAUAAGUUAUCUAUCGCUGAGGACACUGUAAAAGGUGGCCAAGGUAAAUGCAGAUGAACCGCUUCUAAUAGUCCAUUGACUUGGACAAUACUUUUAUGAUCUGAUCUCAAAUCAGGUAGGACUACCCGCUGAACUUAAGC